rnacentral:lncRNA from 1 species
CAAAAGAGGUCCAAUAUUUUAAAUUAGGGUUAAUUUCAUACAAGUCCCUGUAAAUAUAGUGAAUGAUAAAUAUAUUCUUACAAAAUUCAACUUUAAUAUGUUGUCCAGCAAAAGUCCUGAUGUUUUCAAAUGUAUAUUCCUGCUGUUAGAAUCUGUUAGAAAAUUUUAGUUAAUCAUAAUUAAAUACUUAAUCCUCGUUGGUUUUUGAUAUUUCACCCCUUCUUACAUUAUACUGUUAUGGUCUUUGGAGGGAUAUAGUUGUAAUGACAAAAUUUAAAAUAUAAACAUUCUCUAAUGGUAACAAACCAGAAGGACAUACAUAUAUAAAAAUAUUAUGACUUUUAUAAAAGCAAUAUAUAAAAAUUGAAUUUUAUGAGAAUAUAUUUAUCAUUUACUAUAUUUAUAGAGACAUGUACGCAAUUAACCCUCUAAAUUAC